AAGCAGCACGACCCGCGAAU
rnacentral:rRNA from 2 species